UUUCGCGCCACAAACAAGGGCAAGCCUCUCUAGGCACAGGUCCCUGCAUGCCCACAUGCGUCACGACCACGACAGCACCAUUCAUCCUUGAGAAACCCCCUUCGAAAACACUACAUCACUAAUAGUAAUACUAUGCCUAAACGUCCUAGGACUGACGAUGCAAUCGGUUAUUGCCCGCUACAAUUAAAAACGCAUGUUGGACAAAAAGAAGUAAACAUGGGAGUGAACAAGGAUAAGAAUAUGAAGGCAGUUUACGAUCACACAUUAAAUUUGAUGCUACAAGGUCAAAAAGCAUACUACACUGGUCUGUUAGCAAGCAAUGGACAUAGCUGCGCUGAUGAUGGCCAUCCCCACGAUGAUGCUGGUCAACAAGUUAUGCCUGGCCAACUUCAACUUAACAUGAGUGGUCAACUUAUUAACAAUAACAAUCUUGGAGCACAGUCAUUGACUUGUGAAUCACCAGCCCAGGCUGAACCUACGUGUCGGCUGUGUCUCGCAGGUCACAAGACCACUGCAUUAACGACAUGUCCCUAUUGUGAGCAGCUUAUGUGUCAGACCUGUAGUAGGCAGUGCGAUUACUGUAUUCGUUUCUUCUGUCAGUUUUGUUCAGUAUUAAAGUAGUACCUGUAGGUGUCCUCUGCGCGCAGUAGGUUGGCUACCAUGGAUUUGCAUUCCCCUUUAAAGUACACUGUGCUGUCCUUGCACAUUGUUAAUAACUCAUUCAACACCGUUCUUUGAUGUUAUCCAUCCACAUAGUCCUUGGUCCACCUCUGUUCCAUCUUCCCUUCCAAUAAAGUUGGCCUUCACUAAUUACAAUGCAAAUAACCCAACCCACUGUUUUUCACUUCAUACACAAGAACAGCUACAGAAAAAUUUUCUGCUAUUAGUCCCAUCCUUUAGAUAUUGUUUUUAAGGUCCAAAAAAGAGUUGGUUGUGAGACAUGCAUGUAUUCCUGCUCUGCCUAUUGAAUAACAUAUUCUGAUUGGUUAGAUUUAAAGUUUGUGCAUAGGUCAACAAAAGAAAAGAAACAAAAGAUUAAAGUUAGUAUUUUCUUUUUUUUUUUUUCAGCAUUGACUUGUGAAUCACCAGCCCAGGCUGAACCUACGUGUCGGCUGUGUCUCGCAGGUCACAAGACCACUGCAUUAACGACAUGUCCCUAUUGUGAGCAGCUUAUGUGUCAGACCUGUAGUAGGCAGUGCGAUUACUGUAUUCGUGUCUUCUGUCAGUUUUGUUCAGUAUUAAAUUAUGAUGAGCGGGAUGAACAUAUUAUCUGUCUGAAUUGUCUGUCCUAAAGAUUACACCUGUCAAUCAAACUAAACUAAGGCGUUGCUGCAGAUCAUGAAAAGUGAACAACCAAUGAGAGCUGAGGUGAGGUGGCACAAGAUGAGAUUACCCAUUUUGCAUGAAAUCUACAAGUACUGAAAUGUUUUUCAAGUAAUAGCAAUUGACGUUCUGGGACAGAACUUACUAACUAAAGAGACAGACUUUGUCGUUAUUAUAUCAUCUACAAGCAACUACAGUACUUGAUAAUGUUUAAUAUUCUUUGUGCUGGUAACAAGUGAUAACAUUUACAAUUUAACAAUCUUGUAAUUUUUUGUCUAUAUUUUCUAUAAAUUUGUAAUAUUAAGAAUUGUAUAAAAAAAACCCUUAAAAAACGAUAAAAAUAUUAAGUAAGAUAUAGAUGUUGAGUGAAGUAGAAAGUAUUAUAAUUGAUAAAUGACAUUAAAAAAGAUUUGAGAAAAAGUAUUGAUAUUUACACAUGAUUAACACUGGGCUUACCCAGAAUUGUCAUGUGAGUAUGUGGGACCAACUGUAAAUAAACCUGUGAAAUACCCUGAUUAUCUUUUGUAAUUGUUGGUAAAAUCAUGUAAAUAAAUUAUUUUUGCAAUAGUA
rnacentral:misc_RNA from 1 species